rnacentral:rRNA from 1 species
GACAGAGGGUGCAAACGUUGUUCGGAAUUACUGGGCGUAAAGCGUGUGUAGGCGGCUUCGCAAGUCGGAUGUGAAAGCCCCGGGCUCAACCCGGGAAGUGCACUCGAUACUGCGGAGCUAGAGUGUCGGAGAGGUUGGUGGAAUUCUCGGUGUAGAGGUGAAAUUCGUAGAUAUCGAGAGGAACACCGGUGGCGAAGGCGGCCACUGGACGAACACUGACGCUGGAGAACACGAAAGCGUGGGGAGCAAACCGG